CUUCUCACAGUCAGGAUGGCGCUGGCAAAACAGUUUUAUCCGGUAAAGCGAAUGAUUAGAGGUCUUGGGGCCGAAACGAUCUCAACCUAUUCUCAAACUUUAAGUGGGUAAGAAGCCCGGCUCGCUGGCGUGGAGCCGGGCGCGGUGGUGCACGCCUGU
rnacentral:ncRNA from 1 species